rnacentral:lncRNA from 1 species
CUGCCAAAGCCAUGUUUAUUUCUUUGGGCGGCUGCCAAAGCCAAUUUGAUUUUGGCUAGGCCACCACCGGCUUUGACAUUGACUAGUAUCAUCUUCCUCGAUGGUACACUAGAACGCAUUCUCCAUUGCUAUUUAUUCAAAUGCACUAACCUGGGCUUCUUUUGCAUUGUGUUUAAACUAGUCCCAUUUUAAGGGGUUUUUUUUUUCUCCUCUCUAUUCUUUUCCCUAUUUCAGGUAAUAACAAGUGAAUUAGUUAUUCCGCCGUUGUUGUUCCUUUUGAUAUAUUCUUUCACAUGGGGUUGUUCAUUUUUCUUGUUUCUUGUUCUUUUUGGAACUUCCAUUGAAGCAAGUAAAGUCAUUUUACUUAUAAGCUGCUGCAAGCUGUUAAAAAAGAUGGCAAUUAAUUAGUUUCUCAUUUUCUUGUUGAUGAAGCCUGUAUAUGAAUAAAUUACGCGCUAGCUUGUCAUUUUGUUAUUAAAACCUUUAUAUGGCAUGUUCUGCUUUCUGUUUUCUAUUUUUUUUUUGUGAGAAAAUUUUCUAAAUACUUAAUUUUUCUUUUUCCCCUGAAUAUCUACAGAAUGAUUGCUAGAACAACGAUGGGCCAAUGGUUCAAUCUUUUAGUAUGUGCACUCUUAAUACUGAAAGCUCAAGCAUGCUUUAAUGUAUCAAUCACCUAUGUUGAAGAUGCUGUAGCGAAAGGAGCUGGUGGGGAUUAGUACAUAUUUAUAUUGAUGCUUCAUUUUGUGAUUUUCCGUUACUGCGUACUGUAGUUUGUUAGCUGUUUAAUAUGUUUUGCAGUCUGUUUGGAUGGCAGCCCACCUGCUUACCAUUUUGAUAAGGGGUUUGGUGCCGGGAUCAAUAAUUGGUUGGUGCACAUUGAUGUAAUGUCCUCCUCUAUGUAAAAACAUUUCUUAUAUUCACUGCAACUUUAAAUGAUAUGGAUGAAGAGUAAUCAGUCUUACAUAUUAUAGUCAUAAGAAUUCUGGUGAUGUUUACAUUUACCAUUCAUGCUUGUAUUCAUCAUAUACUUUUUUGUUGAUUCAAUUUGCCUUUGGCUUCGGGUUCUUAGGGAGGAGCAUGGUGUAACAAUGUCGCAGAUUGUUCUAACCGAAGGGAUUCCUCACAUGGUUCAUCUAAGUAUAUGGUGAAGGAAGCUAAUUUUACUGGGAUACUAAGUAAUGAGCAGAAAUUUAACCCAGGUAUGACCUUUUUGUGUCGCUUAUUGAUUUGAUUGAUGCAAAUCAAUAAAUUCCCCUUUCCAUUUCUAGACUUCUACGAUUGGAAUAGAGUCAAGGUUAGAUACUGCGAUGGGGCAUCGUUUACUGGAGACGUAGAGGCUGUCAAUCCAGUAAGUUAACUUUUGCCAAAAUUUUCUUAUAUACAUAUUCUUGGGUUCUCUCGUGUGAUAUUUAGUUAGUGAUUUGAUCAGGAAACUAACCUUCACUUCAGAGGAGCAAGGGUUUUUGAAGCUGUCAUGGAGGAUCUAUUGGCUAAAGGAAUGAAAAAUGCUCAAAAUGUAAGAUCAUUCUGUUUUUGUUUUUAAAAAUAUGUUCAUUAGAUUGAUAUGUUUGAUAACUCAUUCGCACUUAUGACAGGCUAUACUUACUGGUUGUUCCGCUGGGGGUUUGACUUCGAUUUUGCAUUGCGAUAACUUCCGAGCUCUCUUUCCCGUUGAUACUAGAGUAAAAUGCUUUGCAGAUGCUGGCUAUUUUGUGAAUGUGUAAGCUCCUGUUCUUUCAUCAACCAUGAUGUGGCAGUUGCUUCAGUUGUUUUUCUUUUCCGAAAUCUGAUUCCCUGGUGUAUUUUUCAAUAGGAAGGAUGUUUCUGGAGCAAGUCACAUUGAGGAGUUUUAUAAACAAGUGGUCGCAUUACAUGUACACACUCUGUCUCUCAUCCUCUUUCAUGCUUACCGACACAAAAUAAUGUUGUUACAUCUUGUGUAGGGAUCGGCUAAGCAUUUGCCAGCAUCCUGCACUUCGAGAUUAAGUCCAGGAUUGGUGAGUUCCACCAUUUUAAUGUUUCUACGUUCUAGUCUUCAUCCAUUCGUUUAUGGACUGACCGAUUCCUUUUAAAAUGACAGUGUUUCUUCCCACAAAACGUAGCAGGGCAAGUCAAGACACCGCUAUUUAUCAUCAACUCAGCUUAUGAUUCAUGGCAGGUUAGCAUAGUUCUUCAAUGUCUAAGAUCCAAUGACAGAAAAUGUGAUACAUAAGCUUAGUGCAAGAAGAUAAUUUUUUGUACUUAAGUGACAUAUCAAGUGAAGCUUGAUUCUUGGGCCUUCUUGCACAAGCAAAAAGAGACUGGUGGAAGAUUGGCACAUUUUUGAUAUGUUAUAUUCGAAGCCACUGAAUAAUUUCAAUAAAUUAUGUGCAAUUUCAAUCUGGUAAUAUUGUUACAAGCGGAAAAUGGCGUGCACAGAUAAGGAACAUUUUGGUUCCGGACAAUGCUGAUCCGAAAGGAACUUGGAGGCGCUGCAAGAAGGAUAUAAAAAUGUGCUCAUCUACUCAGCUGCAAACUAUGCAAGGUAAUUCCCCAAAGCCCCGGAUUACUGCUUUCCACAAAAGACCUUUUUCAUUUUAUUGUUGAUAAUUCAAAGUGUCAAUUCUCGUUGUAUACUUUUCAGGUUUUAGGGUGCAAUUCCUGAAUGCAUUGGCCGGACUUGGCAACUCUUCAUCCAGAGGAAUGCUUAUAGACUCUUGUUAUACUCACUGCCGAACCGUGUUUCAGGAGGCUUGGUUGAGUGCUGACUCUCCGGUGCUGGAUAAAACGGUACGAGUUAUGAUUUCAUCGUUUUGACUUGUUUCCUUUAACAUCUUGAAGUACCAUUGAUUCCCAUUUUUAAGGAUUGAAAAUAUGUUCUACGCAGCCUAUUGCAAAGGCAGUGGGAGACUGGUAUUACGACAGGAAUCCAUUCCAAAAGAUUGAUUGCCCUUACCCCUGCAACCCAUUGCCAGAGAGUUGCUUUUGAAUGGACCUAUUAAUGUAAUGUACACACACAUAAAAUUACAGACCUUGUGUCAAAGCAGAACAAAAUGUAAGAGUCAAGAUCAUUGAGUAGUCAUCAAUGAGCUUGACUGAGUAAGAAUAAAAUGGAUAAAGAGUAUAUGAUUGAUUGAUCAAGUCAAUGAAAUAAUUAAACAGAGGCAACCACCGCACUCAACUUAUGUGCUGGGUGUCUUCUAUCAUUUUCUUAUGUAAUUUAUUUUUCUUAUGUAAUUUAUUGUUGUAACUUCAGUGAAAUAAAUAUUCCAUUUCUUGUUGUUGGAUUGUUGGCAGUAGACGAUCAAUUAUUUAGGAAUCAUUUUGUUUAAUUUUAGUAAUGUCCUAAGACCAUCCUUUUUCCUUUUAACCUUUCACAGUGUGAACUAGUGUGUAUGCAUAGUUAUUUUUUGCUGCAUAAAUAACCAAGUUUAAUUAAAGCUAAUAUUAUAAAAAUAAAAUGCUCUUGCGUCUUGGCACCUUUUUUUCCCCCCUUAAAAUAAUACACUAAAUUACUUAAAUUUUUUAAAAUUAACUACUCUAAUUUUUUUUAUAAUUUCAGAAGUAUUUUAUGCAAUCAAUAAAAUAAGGGAAAUUAUCAUUGCACUACCUUCCUUUUACCUUAUGAUCAUUUAACCACCACAAAAUUUUAACAUGUUCUUUGCACCACCUUUCUUUUUAAAUUUAUAUCAAUUAGCCACUUUUGCACUAACACCGUUGAAUAAUUUAAAUGAAAUGACAAUCCAGAAAUUAUAUAAAACGGUAUUUUAAUUUAAUUAGGGGUAAAUUUGUUAUUUUGUUUAAAUUAUUCAACGGUGUUAGUGCAAAAGUGGCUAAUUGAUACAAAUUUAAAAAAAAAAAAGUGAUGCAAAGAACAUGUUAAAAUUUUAUGGUAUUUAAAUGAACAUAAGGUAAAAGGAAGGUGGUGCAAUGAUAAUUUCACCUAAAAAAAUAGUAUUUUUUUUUGGAAAAAAACAAAGAAUAUUUUUUGAACAAAAAAAUUCACCAAUUUGAAGUUCAUAUCAAAAUAACACUAAAAGUUCACUCUUCAUGUCUUUAAGAACGUAGAUUAAUUAUAUUACACUACAACAUUUUAGUUCAUACUCCCAAAUAUCCCCAAAAAAAAAUGUGACAGACAUCUAUCCAUACCUUAAAUUUCAUCUUAAAUGAUGUGUCAUUCAAUAAAUUAUUUUUUUAUAAUAUUUAAAAAAUUAAUUUUUUAUAAUAAAAAAAUCUUUUAGUAAUUAAAAAGAAAAUACCAAGAAACUCCAGCUCUUGACAUGAGAUAUUAAAAAAAAAUUAUAAUGUGCCGUCAAGAUACAUAUCUUAGUAAUGGCGUGAUAUCAUUUGUAGAAGGCCCAAAUUUGAAGACGGUCCGUCCUUGGCCCACCCCACAAUUUCACCAUUGCAUACUUACAUUGACAAUAAAUACUCUUCUCUCGGGGUUUUUAAUUAAAGAUGCCCUAAAAAUGAGGUAUUUAGUUAAAUAUAUCUCAUGGUUGAAAAUUAUUUAUAUAUACUUUUUUAUGUGGUACAUUAUCUAAAAUGCCUCUAAAGAAAAAUAUAAAACACGUAAUUAAAGAUGCUCUAAAAAUGGGGUAUUUAGUUAAAUACCAACUGUAAUAGUCUAUUUAGGCUAAGCAUUCCUUAAAUUAUAUGAUCCUCAUAUUAUAUCACAUAAAUUGUACAAAACUAUCUUGUUGUCUUUGAAUAUUACACUUAACAAAAAAUAAUUUAACACUACUAGUUAGAAAUACCUAACUAUAAUCUUGUGUCUAUGAAAAUAUUCAACUAUAGUCGUGUACCUAUAAAAAUACCUGACUGUAUUAAUGUAUUUUAGCCAGUCAUUCCUUCAAUAUAUAUGAACACCCUGAUCUAUAACAGACAUUAUACAAAAUUAUCUUCUUUCUCAAUAAUAUACUUAAGCAAAAAAAAAACAUGAAUACUGAUGUAAAAUCAUCUUUAAUGAUAUCAAAUGUCAAUGACAUUCCCAUUGCAACUAUUAUAUCUCAUGUUAAUUAAUCCAAAAAAUGGCAAAAUCACAACAAUGAAGUUUUUAAGGAUACGACACUAUGUAGUUGGUUUCAACGACCUGUGUCCAAAUAAUUUGAUAGCCAAUGCUUUUCGAAAUUAUGACACUAUGUAGUUGGUUUCAACGACCUGUGUCCAAAUAAUUUGAUAGCCAAUGCUUUUCGAAAUUAUGUAACAUCAUCAUAUUGACAAAAUGUGUUCACGUCAAGGCCAUAGGCUAGGACCUCCAAGUACUACAACAAAAAUGCUUCACAAUAAAAUUCAUAUACAUCAAUAAUAAAAUCACCAUUCUUAUUGAAAUAUAUAUAUAUAUAUGUGUGUGUGUGUGUGUGUGUGUGUGUGUGUGUGUGUGUGUGUGUGUGUGUGUGUGUGUGUGAUAUACUCAAUUGCAUCCCCUGAUUUUAUUGCAGGAUAUUACGUACUCACAAGGAUGAUCUUUAUUUAUGUCUUCUACUGCAGGAUAUUACGUACUCACAAGGAUGAUCUUUAUUUAUGUCUUCUACUGCAUCUAGUGAUAAUCAAUUAGAAAUAUUUGCUUUGAAGUAUUUAGAUUCCUUAAUUUUCAGUUCCCAUCUGCAUAAACAUAAAAUAUUUUAAUUAUAAUAUAAAACGACCAAAAAGUUGGAUAAUAACAUAUUCUAAACCAAUAAAAAAAAUUACACGACACACCAGUCGAGUAAAGCAUUCAUAACACAACUACAGUCGAGUAAAACAUUCAUUACGCAACUAUAGCCGAGGAAAGUAUUCAUUACAUGAUUACAGCCGAGUAAAGCAUUCAUUACACGAUUACAACAAGCAUAAAAUAUGUUUUGACUUCUAUAUUUCCUUGGAUUUAAAUCAUUUCAUGAUAAUACAUAAUGCUUACAACAUAAAACUACAUAAAAGCUAAAUAUGUUUUGACUUCUAUAUCUCCUUGGAUUCAAAUCUCUGUACAGAAUUUUAAGUGGAUGACAGUAUAGAAAAGAAUUUACUUUAAUAUGGCUUGUCAACGAAUAGAGAGAAUGAAUGAAAAUUUUGUUUAUUAUAAAAAAUAUAUUGAUGGACCAUUAAAAAGCCAAAUGGUCAUUUAAUCAUUAACAUAUUAUUUGAAAUCCAUUCAAUAUGGGUAAGAAAUAAUUAGAAUUGUAAAUUGAAGGUUCCAUAGCAAAUAAUAGAGAAAACCCAGAUUGCGACAUAAUGAACGCAUACACAGCUGAAGAAAAUUAAUAUAUAAUUUCCAUGGAUGAAGUCCAACUACAAACAAUAAAUAAAAUUAAACACAUAUCUAAUAGAUAAAUCAGUGUAGCCAUAAUCGAGUAGUCACAAGGAUAAUAUUUGUUUUAUCCAAUUCCCUUUGAAUAUUUAAUUAGGAACUCCUAUAACCAUUACAAGGAGAGUAAACUCCCUUGAAAUAACUCUCUUCAAUUUCAACUCCGCAAGUUCAAGAAGCUUCAUUACAUGAAUCAUGAAGAAACAUUAUCAGCAAGCAUGCAAGUGAAACAAAUAACUCGGCCAACUACAAUAAUGACCAAAAUCACGUGGGCAAUUUAUUUUUUAAAACCCUAAUGCAUAUAACCCCAACAAUUAUGAAUCCUAAAUUCUCUUUAUGAAGUAAAAAUUAAGUGUAAAUGUGGUAAAUAAUCUUUAAUUCGGUGAAUUUCCAGCCUUCAGUUUAGUGAAUUUCCAAUGAAAGUAGUGGAUUUGUGGUGUUAGAACCAGCAGCAAAAGAAGCACAAACUUACAGCAGCAGAAGUAUCCUGGGCAUUGAAAUAUCUGUGAUUUUGAAAUAUUAGAUUUUGAAUUGGGGUAAUUCUGUAAUUGCACAUUGAGAAAUUUUAGGGUCUAGCUAUGGUACCACUGUAGUAUCAUGUGUCACUAUAGUUGGAUUCAAUGGUUGGAUUCAGCUGUGGUACCAUAGUUUUGCUCGAAAUUUUGAAUUAUGAGGAUGUAUUAGGUAAAUACCCUACUUUUGGGGUAUGGCGUGGACAAAUUCCUGCUUCUCUCUCAAUCUCAAAAACACAACCUUCGCCCUUCGGUUGCAGUUGCAGUGUUAAUGGAUUGGAGUUUUGUACACACAACUUGGGAAAAAUGGGCUUCUACCAGUGUUGGCUCUUCCGGUAAUGUACCCUCCAAGAACCCCCUCGGGCUUUUCAUUAUUUUAGUUAUUACCACGUUAGAUAUAUUAGAUUUAUAAUUUAUAUAAUAAAAGGCUGCUGAUCAUGCCAGUGCAAGAGCUAUAGAGUAAGCAGCCAUUGAUUUUUGUUUCUAAAUUUUGCUUGUAGGUGAGCCCUUGAAGGCGGCUUUGCUUAUCAACCAGGACCCCACUGGUCCCUCUCGUUUGUUAUCCACUAUGUCAGCUUCGUGCUUUUUUUUUUUUUUUAAUAUAUAUUUUAAAUACCCUUUUAUAUAUAUGUUGUUCUGUUCAUAAGCAGUGAAAUUUUGAAGCUUCGUUAUGGUUUGUGCAGUGCAGAACAAGAAAGGUAUCAAGGCCGACGCGAUUGACUUGACUGAAUUUGUUGAUUUUGUCAAACUCAAUAAACUUCAGACUGACUGCUUUGUUAUUGGACAAAAAACCAAUGCAAGCUAUUCGUGUCUCCUUUACAUUUGUGAGUGAAAUUCAAUUGUUGGACUUGAAUUUUGCGGUGAAUUAUUUAUUAUUGCUAGAGUUGCUAGUAAGUUGAUCGUAAUGGUUUUAUCAUAUUGAUGACAAUUGACGCAGACAUAGUUACCUCGAUUCAUGAGAAUAUGACAAUUUUUAUAAGAGGAAAAGAGAGAGUCGUUCUCUUAAUCAAGAAAAAUACCAUUAAAUCUAGAAUAUAAAAAUUAAUGGCUGAAAAAUUAACGUGUGCGUGAUCUAUGGUCAAAUAUUCUAAAUCCUUGAAAUUAAAAUAACUUGAAAAAUUAAUAUUGAAAAAAAAUAAAUGAAAUUGUCACUUUCGAUCACAUAAUCAAUGAAAAUCAGGAUAUAAUCAACACCUAUUUAUUUUAUUUCUAAAUUAUGACUUUUUCAUUAUUAUUCAAAGAAGGGAGUUUUUCUUUAAAAAACUCUCACCAUAAUAUAAGUGGCUUAAACCUUUUUUUGUUUUGAAAUAUAAAUUAACUUAAAAGCAAACAAGUAACAAAAUUAUCUUUUAAGAAGGCUUUAUAUAUGUAGAGGGGACUAGUCCACCUAUGUCAAUUCUUCCAAGUUAGUGAAAUUGUGUGACUUUAUUUAAUUAGAAGGAGCAACAACUUCAAUCUCUAUUUAUACGUCAUUAUCCUUUAGCUAUAUUUGUGCGACUUUAUUUAUACGUAGGGAAAUGAGUUAACAAGUUAUAUUUUCCAAGCACCAAGGUAAAUUACUCCUUAGGUCAUUAUGGUCAAUAAAUGAGUCUUCAUUUUACAAUUAAUAAAUGUAUAAAAUAUUUGAACUAAUUAAUAGUAUAGUAUUAUAUAUGUUAAAUUCUUCAAAAAGUAAGAUAGAAUGUAUACUUGAUAAUUUCGUUCUACUAAUUUAAGUUAAGUUUAUUGAGUAUUCCAGUUAUUUUAAGCUAAAAUGGACAUUUUCAUAAUUUUAUCACAUAAUCAAACGAAUAAGUGUAUAUUUUAAGAUGGUAAAGAUAGUCAAUAGGUAAACUUAAAGGAAAAACUAAUGGCAAGGUUGGUUUAAUGAGUUUUCAAAAUAUUGGUGGUGGAAUAACGAUAAUUAAUUUAUUUAGGUGUGCAAUUGAAUUUUGAUAUGUACUAGUGGUGCAAAAAAAUAAUAAAUUCAAGUUGAGUCAAAGGCAUGGUAAGAACGCAGACUCUCCAAAGCCCACGACAUAGAUUAUCUAAUGAUUUUUUUAAUUUAUAAAAUUAAAAAAAGAGUUAAUGUUGACUUCGUUUUACCCCAAAAAAAAAAAAAAAGUAUGACACUAUUAGGCAUCAAUUUCAAAAUAACGCGGUUUGAUCAACUCCAAUUUAUGAUGUUAUUAUCAAAUGAUAAAAUUUUCUAAUUUUUAGAAGUCGUUUCUUAUCAAAUAAUCAGGGAUUGAAAUAAAUAGCAUAAAAUAACAAAAAUAAGAAAGUUAAGUUGAUGUCCACUGAUUUGUGUAAGUAAAAAGUUUGACUCUUAAAAAGACAUUAAUUUCAUGAGAGACAAUAACGCCAUUUUGAUCCUCUCUAUAAUUAAUGAUGUUAUUUUCAAAUAACAAAAUUAUCUAGCUUUUGGAAAUCUUGGAGAGAAACUAAUUUGGUCGGUUUCUUGAUUAAUGAUUUGAUGGUCAUCGAAUAAUGCAUGACUUGGAAAGAUCUUCCCCCGUUCUUCAAGUUAUUAUUUGACUUUGUUAGUAAAAGGCCUAUCAGAAAGGUUUUUAAAUUCUGGUCUUCUGAGAUUAAAUUAAGUCACAGUUUAAGUUAUCUCAAGAAUAUGGGUUUGGUCAAAUUUUUCUCAGUUAUCUCAAUAUUGUUGCUAAUUCAUUGGCUAAUCAAAGACACAGUUGCAAAAAUUCCUCUUGGAGAAAAUUGAGGAAAAUCUUCUUGAAGAUGGCUAAAUUAUAAAAAGAUAGUACAUGGUGGCCGGACGGAUUAUAAAUUAAGUAAAUAUAUCUAACUUCGUUAAAAUUAAAGCUUCAUAAGACAUAACUAAUGCUCUGUAUGAUUUUAUUAUUGGCUUCCGAAAUUGCACGAUGGGACAGUUGAAAGCAUUUUCCAUUUACUACUUCUUCGAAUUGACUAGUAUCAUCUUCCACGAUGGUACAGUAGAACGCAUUCUCCAUUGCUAUUUAUUCAAAUGCACUAACCUGGCCUUCUUUUGCAUUGUGUUUAAACUAGUCCCAUUUUAAGGGUUUUUUUUUUUUCUCCUCUCUAUUCUUUUCCC